rnacentral:rRNA from 1 species
UACGUAGGGACCGAGCGUUGUCCGGAAUCAUUGGGCGUAAAGAGCGUGUAGGCGGCUAUUUAAGUCCUGCGUGAAAUCCUGCGGCUCAACCGCAGACGGUCGUGGGAAACUGGAUGGCCAGAGUGCGGGAGAGGAGAGUGGAAUUCCCGGUGUAGCGGUGAAAUGCGCAGAUAUCGGGAAGAACACCCGUGGCGAAGGCGGCUCUCUGGAACGCAACUGACGCUGAGACGCGAAAGCGUGGGGAGCAAACAGG